AUGGUAAGGUGGUCGCCGCCGCCACGGCGGGACGUCGAGCUUUUCCCCUUCCCCUCUUUGGGCGCCCACGACCCCGUCUCACUGUCCCUAUUCGUGGCGUGCGUCGUGGCCACCGUGGCGAUCGCCUCGACCAUGUGCUCGGCGUGCGGCCGCAAGCCCAAGGCGGUCAGCCAGGAGCCCGCCGCGGACGCCCAGGCCUCCGACGCCUCCGGGAGCCAGGGCGGCGCGGAAGGGGAGGAGGAGGUGGUGACGCUGCCGCCGGAGCUGGCCACGCACGGGCCGAUCGAGCCGCCGCCGCUGCCCAAAACGGCGUCGCGGCGGAGGCUGUCCGUCUCCAUGUCCAUGGGCGUGGGCAAAAGCAUGUCCAUGAACGUGGGCAAGAGCCUCGCCAACAUCCCGGACAAGAUGAAGCUGAGCAAGCUGGAGCCGCGCCACAAGGAAAAGGACGACCCCGAGGACACGCUGUGGAAGAAGUCCAUCAUCCUGGGCGGGAAGUGCAAGAUCCCCGGGGAGAGGGACGCCGAGGCCUCCGACCCCGAUGCGGCCGCCGACGCCGCGGACGAGAUGACCGCCGGCGCCUUCCGCCGGUCCAGCUACUCCCGGCCCGUGUCCCGGUCCAACUCCUUCUCCGUCCACCAGCCCCUGCCCGAGCCUCCCCCAAUGCAAUCCUACACUAAAUCAUGA
rnacentral:rRNA from 1 species